rnacentral:lncRNA from 10 species
UUUUGUUCUGUCAUUAUUGGUGCAAAUGCCUGCUUUCCUUGAUUAGAGAUAUAAUGUGUGAAGAGUUGAUUGAUAGUUGCCAACUGUCAUUGAGCACUUUGAACAUGUGAAGUUAAGUGCUUGAUCAUAGUUCUCACAUCCUCAUAACUCCCCUGUGAAAUAUAUGGUGUUUUUUCAUAUCCGCGUUAAAGAAACUGGGAUUUACAAUGAUGUAACAUUGGACAAAUUAAGGUCUCAGGACAGGAGGUCACGGAGUGAUGAGCCCUGAAUUACUCUAGGUGGGUUUAACUCCAAAGCCCAUGCCCUUACCCAGGGGAACACACUGCUUCUGAAGAUCUCAUUCACCAUGUUAAUGACCACACCCCCGCCAACCCCACCACGUGCCUCCUAACACUAGGCAUGCUCCAUGUGUGAUGAGUGAAUAGAUGACUAAUACUUCGUAUGCUUAAGGUCAUUUACAAUUCACAAAACUUGUUGACAGCUAUACUUGAUUUCCAUAUGAUUUCCCCAACAUCUCUGACGCAGCUCCACAGGAAAUGUUAUCUCCAUUUCACAGAGGCUGAGAGAGUUCAGAGUCCUCCAGAAGCUCACAUUGCUAUUUAGUAACAGGCAUAGACAGGACUUCAGCCCACGUGUUCUGCCUUCAAGUUCUGCCAGCCUUUCUUCAAAACCCUCUGAAGCCUGUUUGUGCCAGAUGCCACCCAAGGCACUGAGAUGCAGCUGUGAAUGAAACAAAAUCUCUUCCUACAUGAAGCUCAUGUUCUUGCAAGCAUACCCUAGAGCUCACCAGGAUCCAUGUCACCUGGAACUGGUCAGAAAUGCAGAAUGCCUACCUCCAGAGUUACAAAAUCAAAAUCUGCAUGUUAACAAGCAUGGAUCAAUGUUCCAGACUUUCCUGUGUUUCCACAUACUUCAAAAUUUCUCCUUCCCAUAUGUUGUUUUCAGCUAAUUCAAUAAAACAAUCAUGUUAAUGUCAUCUUAUGGAGUCAUGAACUCAAGUGUUGGUUUACUCAGGUAACUACUUUAUUGAAGGGAGACCCCCUGGAAAUAAUGCCUUACUCCAGAGGAUAAUGUUAAGAUGGGAAUUUCAGUUACUGUCAAACCGACUGGAAAAGAUGUUUAGAAGACAGACUGCCUUUCAGGAUGCUCCAAGCCUUUCCUGUUGCAUUUAUUUAUCCAUAGGAUAAGCCCAGCAUCAUAUAUUCAUUUUCUAUAAAUCAAGCAUUUCCCUCCAACAAUGCUAUAACCACCAUAA